rnacentral:tRNA from 2 species
GCGAAGGUGGCGGAAUUGGUAGACGCGCUAGCCUCAGGUGUUAGUGUCCUUACGGACGUGGGGGUUCAAGUCCCCCCCCUCGCACCA